UACGUAGGGGGCAAGCGUUGUCCGGAUUUAUUGGGCGUAAAGAGCUCGUAGGCGGUCUGUUACGUCUGCUGUGAAAACCCGGGGCUUAACCCUGGGCUUGCAGUGGAUACGGGCAGACUAGAGUUCGGCAGGGGAGACUGGAAUUCCUGGUGUAGCGGUGAAAUGCGCAGAUAUCAGGAGGAACACCGGUGGCGAAGGCGGGUCUCUGGGCCGAUACUGACACUGAGGAGCGAAAGCGUGGGGAGCGAACAGG
rnacentral:rRNA from 1 species